rnacentral:rRNA from 1 species
UACGUAGGGAGCAAGCGUUGUCCGGAAUUAUUGGGCGUAAAGAGCUCGUAGGCGGUUUGUCGCGUCUGCUGUGAAAGUUCGGGGCUCAAACCCGGAACUGCAGAGGGCACGGGCAGACUAGAGUGCGGUAGAGGAGACUGGAAUUCCUGGUGUAGCGGUGGAAUGCGCAGAUAUCAGGAGGAACACCAGUGGCGAAGGCGAGUCUCUGGGCCUCAACUGACGCUGAGGAGCGAAAGCGUGGGGAGCAAACAGG